UAAUUAGUCCUAAAAAUCCUAACUUCAGUAACAGCAGAUUGUGGACAAAUUGAAAGCCUGCCAGUGCUCUCAAAAACAGUGGAUGGUGUGGUGGAAAGCCCUUGGAAGGAGACGGGUGGAUGCAUGGGAGAUGCAGGCUACACUGCAGGGCUGCUGGCUUGCAGGAGAGAACCGAGGACAAGGGAGAGCUGGGGAAAGUUCUCUUGUGGUUGAAAUAAAUGCCAGACACUCUUCAAUGGAGCCCAUGUUUGUUUGGUUCAGUCUGUGAAGUAAUUCAAACCUCAGUGCAUGAUUGAAAAUAGUACAAUUUUCCAUCUGCAAGUGGCAGAGCUCAACAUCUGGGUCUGGUCAGGAGAGAGACAGAGAGAGCCCAGCCCAAACCACUGACACCUGGGGUUGACAGUGCUGCUUACAGAUGUGUUCCUUUGAUCUUUGAGACUGGUUUCUCUCACUUAGCAUAAUGCCUGGAGUUCAACUGUAAUGACAGGGCCUCAGACCUAAGGCAGGAGCACCCCCUACACCAGACCUCCUGGGUCACAGGAAAUGCACAGACAUCGGGAAGGGACGGAGGAUGGACGGAGGAAGGACGUGCAGUUGCAGCUCUUUCUGCAGAUGCCCUGAGAGAGGAGUUUCCUGAGCCCCCGACCCUAACCACACAGAACUGUUCAUAGAUGAAAGGGACUUGCCUUGUCUCCAAUGUGACUUUGGAUUUGGACUUUUGAGUUAAUGCUGAAAUGAGUUAAGAUGUUGGGGGACUGUUGGGAAGGCACGAUUGGUUUUGAAAUGCAAAGAGGACAUGAGAUUUGGGAGGGGUUGGGGUGGCGUGAUCUGGUUUGGCUGUGGGUCUCUACCCAAAUGACACCAUUCCUCAGGGUGAUCAGCGAGCUACCUGAUGGCAGGUUGGAUUAUAUUGGACCUCUUCCAUCCUGGAAAGGGCAGAGGUUUGUCCUCACUGAAAUAGACACUUACUGCAGAUAUGCAUGCAAUGCUUCUGCCAAGACUACCAUCUGUGGAGUCAUGGAAUGCCUUAUCCACUGUCACAGUAUUCCAUAUAGCAUUGCCUCUGACCAAGGCACUCCCUUUACGGCUAAAGAAGUGUGGCAGUGGGCUCAUGCUCAUGGGAUUCACUUGUCUUACCAUGUUCCCCAUCAUCCUGAAGCAGCUGGAUUGAUAGAAGAAUGGAAUGGCCUUUCAAAAUCACAAUUACAAUGCCAACUAGGCUCCAAUACUUUGCAGAGCUGGGGCAAAGCUAUCCAAAAGGCCAUGUAUGCUCCAAAUUAGCAUCCAACAUAUGGUACUGUUUCUCCCAUAGCCAUAAUUCAUGGAUCCAGGAAUCAAGGGGUGGGAGUGGAAAUGGCACCAUUCACCAUCACCCCUAGUGAUCCCCUAGCAAAAUUUUUGCUUCCUGGUCCCAUGACAUUACAUUCUGUUGGCCUAGAGGUCUUAAUUCCAGUGGGAAUAAUGCUGCCAUCAGGAGAAACAACAACAAUUCCAUUAAACUGGAAGUUAAGAUUUCCACCUGGCCACUUUGGGCCGCUCCUACCUUCAAGUCCACAGGCUAAGAAGGGAGUUACAGUGUUGACUGGGCUGAUUGACCUGAACUAUCAAGAUGCAAUCAGUCUAUUACUCCACAAUGGAGGUAAGGAAGAAUAUGUAUGGAAUACAGGAGAUCCAUUAGGGCAUCUCUUAACAUUACCCUGCCCUGUCAUUAAGGUCAACGGGAAACUACAACAGCCCAAUCCAGGCAGGACUACAAAUGGCCCAGACCCUUCAGGAAUGAAGGUUUGCAUCACUCCACUAGGAGAAAAAACUCUACCUGCUGUGAUGCUUGCUGAAGGCAAAGGGAAUACAGAAUCGGUAGUAGAAGAAGUAGUCAUCAAUACCAGCUACAACCACGUGAUCUGUUGCAGAAAUGAGGACUGUAAUUGUCAUCAGUAUUUCCUUCUUCUUUUGUUAAAAACAUGUUUGUGCAUGUACACACUUGUACUAAGAAAAUUCCUUCAUUUUAUUUCUUUUUUCCUUUAUCAUGUGACAUAAAAUUUAUUGACUUCAUAUCAGCAUUUAAGUGUUCUUAACUUUACAUAAUAGCACUUGGGUUGGGGAUUGGUGCAUUUCUGGUUGUACAAAAGAUAGUUGUAUUACAUUAGGUGUAAUUAUGACCUUAUUAUUGUCUUUAUUUGAAGAUUAUGUAUGAUCUCAGGAGAUUCGUAUGGGUUCAAGUUGACAAGGGUUGGACUUGUGAUGGUUAAUACAGAGUGUCAACUUGAUUGGAUUGAAGCAUGCAAAGUAUUGAUCCUGGGUGUGUCUGUGAGGGUGUUGCCAAAGGAGAUUAACAUUUGAGCCAGUGAGCUGGGAAAGGCAGACCUACCCUUAAUCUUGGUGGGCACCAUCUAAUCAGCUGCCAGUGUGGCCAGGGUAUAAAGCAGGCAGAAAACAUGAAAAGACUAGACUGGCUUAGCCUCCCAGCCUACAUCUUUCUCCUGUGCUGGAUGCUUCCUGCCCUCGAACAUCAGACUUCAAAUUCUUCAGCUUUGGGAUUCGGACUGGCUUCCUUGCUCCUCAGCUUGCAGGUGGCCUACUGUGGGACCUUGCAGUUGUGUGAGUUUAAUACUCCUCAAUAAACUCCUACAUAUAUAUAA